rnacentral:lncRNA from 1 species
GUUGUGUUUGCUACUCUCCUCUCCCUCUCCAGUUUUGUAUAACUGACAGCUUUCAAUCUUGUCAAUUGCAAAGCACUAAAGUAGGCUUAGGAGGUAGGGAGUGUGGCAACUUUGAGUCACAAAACAGUUUUUGAACGGUGAAAGACAUAUUGGUUGUCUAUUUUUUGAUAGGAGUGUGUUGGAGAGAACCAUGCUGAACAGCUAAUACCCCAGUGAAUCCACAAGGACUUAGAGUGACUUGACAUGUCAGUGGAAGCUGUCAAACUCCUAUCAAAAGGACAGAUCUCUGUGGGAUUUGUAUUCCUCAUGCCUGCCUUGCAGCCCUACCGAUGGGUCACUUCACUGGAAGGUCUUAUCUAGAGGAGGGGCAUGGUCCAGGCUGGAGCUGGCUCAGAGUGCUUGCAUCAUGGCUCUGCCAGCUGCUGACACACACUGAUAAUAGACUUCUUGUCAAGCAGCAGCUGUUAGAGAGAGAGAUCAGGUUUGAUUAG